GUUGUAUAGUCAAGUAAUUAAGUGCAUGUGGUGGAUGCCUUGGCAGUCAGAGGCGAUGAAAGACGUGAUAGCCUGCGAAAAGCUCCGGGGAGGCGGCAAAUAUCCUUUGAUCCGGAGAUGUCUGAAUGGGGGAACCCACCUACUUUAAGGUAGGUAUUGCAACAUGAAUACAUAGUGUUGCAAGGCGAACGAGGGGAAGUGAAACAUCUCAGUACCCUUAGGAAAAGAAAUCAAUUGAGAUUCCCUCAGUAGCGGCGAGCGAACGGGGAUCAGCCCAUUAAGUUAUGUGUGUUUUAGUGGAACGCUCUGGGAAGUGCGAACGUAGAGGGUGAUAUUCCCGUACACGAAAGGGCACACAUAAUGAUGACGAGUAGGGCGAGGCACGUGAAACCUUGUCUGAAUAUGGGGGGACCAUCCUCCAAGGCUAAAUACUCCUGACUGACCGAUAGUGAACCAGUACCGUGAGGGAAAGGCGAAAAGAACCCCUGUGAGGGGAGUGAAAUAGAUCCUGAAACCGCAUGCAUACAAGCAGUGGGAGCACCUUCGUGGUGUGACUGCGUACCUUUUGUAUAAUGGGUCAGCGACUUAUAUUCAGUAGCAAGGUUAACCGUAUAGGGGAGCCGUAGAGAAAUCGAGUCUUAAUAGGGCGUUUAGUUGCUGGGUAUAGACCCGAAACCAGGCGAUCUAUCCAUGAGCAGGUUGAAGGUUGGGUAACACUAACUGGAGGACCGAACCCACUGUCGUUGAAAAGCCAGGGGAUGACUUGUGGAUAGGGGUGAAAGGCUAAUCAAGCCUGGUGAUAGCUGGUUCUCCCCGAAAGCUAUUUAGGUAGCGCCUCGGACGAAUACCAUAGGGGGUAGAGCACUGUUUCGGCUAGGGGGUCAUCCCGACUUACCAAACCGAUGCAAACUCCGAAUACCUAUGAGUACUAUCCGGGAGACAGACUGCGGGUGCUAACGUCCGUAGUCAAGAGGAAAACAAUCCAGACCGCCAGCUAAGGCCCCAAAAUCAUAGUUAAGUGGGAAACGAUGUGGGAAGGCAUAGACAGCUAGGAGGUUGGCUUAGAAGCAGCCACCCUUUAAAGAAAGCGUAAUAGCUCACUAGUCGAGUCGGCCUGCGCGGAAGAUGUAACGGGGCUAAAACUAUGUGCCGAAGCUGCGGAUUUGACAUUAGUCAAGUGGUAGGGGAGCGUUCUGUAAGCCGAUGAAGGUGUAUUGAGAAGUAUGCUGGAGGUAUCAGAAGUGCGAAUGCUGACGUGAGUAACGACAAAACGGGUGAAAAACCCGUUCGCCGAAAGACCAAGGGUUCCAGUCCAACGUUAANNNNNNUAUACUUUGUAUACGUGGUAGGGGAGCGUUCUGUAAGCCGAUGAAGGUGUGUUGAGAAGCAUGCUGGAGGUAUCAGAAGUGCGAAUGCUGACGUGAGUAACGACAAAACGGGUGAAAAACCCGUUCGCCGAAAGACCAAGGGUUCCAGUCCAACGUUAANNNNNNNNNNNNNNNNNNNNNNNNNNNNNNNNNNNNNNNNNNNNNNNNNNNNNNNNUCGGGGCUGGGUGAGUCGACCCCUAAGGCGAGGCCGAAAGGCGUAGUCGAUGGGAAAAUGGUUAAUAUUCCAUUACUUCUGUGUAAUGCGAUGAGAGGACGGAGAAGGCUAAAUCAGCCUGGCGUUGGUUGUCCAGGUGAAAGGAUGUAGGCAUGUAUCUUAGGCAAAUCCGGGGUACUCUAUGCUGAGAUCUGAUAGCAAGCUGUACUUGUACAGCGAAGUGGUUGAUGCCAUGCUUCCAGGAAAAGUCUCUAAGCUUCAGUUACACAGGAAUCGUACCCGAAACCGACACAGGUGGUCAGGUCGAGUAGACCAAGGCGCUUGAGAGAACUCUGCUGAAGGAACUAGGCAAAAUGGUACCGUAACUUCGGGAGAAGGUACGCUGUUGUUGGUGAUGGAACUCGCUUCCUGAGCUGACGACAGCCGCAGAAACCAGGCCGCUGCAACUGUUUAUUAAAAACAUAGCACUCUGCAAACACGAAAGUGGACGUAUAGGGUGUGAUGCCUGCCCGGUGCUGGAAGGUUAAUUGAUGGGGUUAGCGUAAGCGAAGCUCUUGAUCGAAGCCCCAGUAAACGGCGGCCGUAACUAUAACGGUCCUAAGGUAGCGAAAUUCCUUGUCGGGUAAGUUCCGACCUGCACGAAUGGCAUAAUGAUGGCGGCGCUGUCUCCAGCAGAGGCUCAGUGAAAUCGAAAUCGCUGUGAAGAUGCAGUGUACCCGCGGCUAGACGGAAAGACCCCGUGAACCUUUACUGCAGCUUGACACUGAACUUUGACCUUACUUGUGUAGGAUAGGUGGGAGGCUUUGAAGCUGGAACGCUAGUUCCAGUGGAGCCGUCCUUGAAAUACCACCCUGGUAAUGUUGAGGUUCUAACUCUGUCCCGUGAUCCGGGACGAGGACCGUGUCUGGUGGGUAGUUUGACUGGGGCGGUCUCCUCCUAAAGAGUAACGGAGGAGUACGAAGGUGCGCUCAGCGUGGUCGGAAAUCACGCGUAGAGUAUAAAGGCAAAAGCGCGCUUAACUGCGAGACCCACAAGUCGAGCAGGUACGAAAGUAGGUCUUAGUGAUCCGGUGGUUCUGUAUGGAAGGGCCAUCGCUCAACGGAUAAAAGGUACUCUGGGGAUAACAGGCUGAUACCGCCCAAGAGUUCAUAUCGACGGCGGUGUUUGGCACCUCGAUGUCGGCUCAUCUCAUCCUGGGGCUGAAGCAGGUCCCAAGGGUAUGGCUGUUCGCCAUUUAAAGAGGUACGCGAGCUGGGUUUAGAACGUCGUGAGACAGUUCGGUCCCUAUCUACCGUGGGCGCUGGAAAUUUGAGAGGAUCUGCUCCUAGUACGAGAGGACCAGAGUGGACGAACCUCUGGUGUACCGGUUGUGACGCCAGUCGCAUCGCCGGGUAGCUAUGUUCGGAAGGGAUAACCGCUGAAAGCAUCUAAGCGGGAAGCCUACCUCAAGAUAAGAUUUCCCUAGGACUUUAUGUCCUCUAAAGAGCCGUUCGAGACUAGGACGUUGAUAGGUUGGAUGUGGAAGCAUAGUGAUAUGUGAAGCUGACCAAUACUAAUUGCUCGUGAGGCUUGACUAUACAACACCCAAGCAGUUG
rnacentral:rRNA from 1 species